AGUGAACGCUGGCGGUAGGCCUAACACAUGCAGGUCGAACGGCAGCACAGUAAGAGCUUGCUCUUACGGGUGGCGAGUGGCGGACGGGUGAGGAAUACAUCGGAAUCUACUUUUUCGUGGGGGAUAACGUAGGGAAACUUACGCUAGUACCGCAUACGACCUACGGGUGAAAGCAGGGGAUCUUCGGACCUUGCGCGAUUGAAUGAGCCGAUGUCGGAUUAGCUAGUUGGCGGGGUAAAGGCCCACCAAGGCGACGAUCCGUAGCUGGUCUGAGAGGAUGAUCAGCCACACUGGAACUGAGACACGGUCCAGACUCCUACGGGAGGCAGCAGUGGGGAAUAUUGGACAAUGGGCGCAAGCCUGAUCCAGCCAUACCGCGUGGGUGAAGAAGGCCUUCGGGUUGUAAAGCCCUUUUGUUGGGAAAGAAAAGCAGCAGGUUAAUACCCCGCUGUUCUGACGGUACCCAAAGAAUAAGCACCGGCUAACUUCGUG
rnacentral:rRNA from 1 species